UACGAAGGGGGCUAGCGUUGCUCGGAAUCACUGGGCGUAAAGCGCACGUAGGCGGCUUUUUAAGUCAGAGGUGAAAUCCUGGAGCUCAACUCCAGAACUGCCUUUGAUACUGGAGAGCUUGAGUCCGGGAGAGGUGAGUGGAACUGCGAGUGUAGAGGUGAAAUUCGUAGAUAUUCGCAAGAACACCAGUGGCGAAGGCAGCACACUGGCCCGGUACUGACGCUGAGGUGCGAAAGCGUGGGGAGCAAACAGG
rnacentral:rRNA from 1 species